CCCAUCAACGUGGAGGGGGUACUGCUGG
rnacentral:piRNA from 1 species